UCGGCAUCCGAAACUCGUGGUCUUCCCGAACCACAUGAAGCCGACCUCACUACUCAUUGCCGCGGCGCCGCCGCGUUCACCGCACUCAUGCAUUCGGCCGUCCCACUCGCACACCGACACCGGGUUCCCUUGGGGACGGCGGCGACGAGGAGACCCGGCCCUUGGCGCCAACCGGCGGCCCCAUCGGUUCUCUACCUCGUGGCGCUAGUACCCCCACCCCCCCACGCGACGCAACAGCAUCGUACAGCGAUGACCGGAAGUGAGACAAUUCCUUCGAAAUACAGGCUGGAAAACCUGAGCUCUGUCAAUGCAAUUUUAAUACUAUUCAGUUGUGCUUCUGCACUGCUGCACAUAAGCAUAUGACGCUCCUUUUCUUCUCUGUUGGGCUGAUGUGGACUGGGAAUCCAUCCAGGUUUGGAGUGUUCUGGGAGUUUUGUUCUGGUCAAUCUAAUCAAAAUAUUGCUUUUUGAGUGGAUGCUCCAAUUGAUCCAGAUUGUUGGGUGUUUAUUUGCUUCCUGGCGGAGUACCAACAUCCAGUUUAUUUCCGAAACAAACAUUAAAAUUUGGUUGAUGACCUUUAAAGUACUGCAUAUAUGCAGUACCUCCAGCGGAGACUCAUGCAAACCCACUAGAGCAGAAGUCUAUUAGAAGUCUAUAAAUGGUUGAUGACCUUUAAAGUUUGAACAGAAUGUUGCUCCAAACAGGGCCAAAUCCCAAGUAUCUUAGUACCUGCAACAAGAAAGGCCAUGACAUGGAAUCGAAGGCCUUUGAGAUAUCCAACUUGAGGAGAACUCUCUGCUCUUUUUGCCAAUGGAGCAAUUUGGCUAUUUGUUGGACCAAGAUAAAUUUUUCAUGAAUGCACAUUCUUUUGACAUAAGCACUUUGAUUGGGAGACACCAAAUCCUUGAGCUUCCUAGCCAGCCUAUUGGCUAGCAGUUUGGUGAUAAGCUUGGAAAAGCUAUGGACUAGGCUUAUAGGGUGAAAGUCUUUGAUUUCCAUGGCAUCUGGAGAUUUUGGUAGCAGGUGAUAUAGGCUGAAUCCAGAAGGAAUAAUCUGCUCACAUCUCCCUGCAGAACUCGCCAUUGAUGGAUUUUUCAUGAUUUGGUUGCAAUGCUUUUUGGACUUGGUAUGUUCUCCCUCACCAUUACAUCACCUCAUUAUCCUCUAUUGUGAUUAGACCCGUCCGGAAAUUAAUUUUGGAACUUAGCUUGCUCAUGAGGGAUGAUAUGUGCUCUGUCUUCUCCUAAGUGGUUCGAUUUCUUGCAUUUCUAUUCUUUUAAUGUUUAACUAUAGCCCCACUUUGGGACCUUGCAUGUUUGAUUAUGAUUGUUCUUUUCUUGCAAAUACUAGAAUCCAUAUAUAUUAAACAAGUACAAGCUUUACAAGAACACCCUUGACAAAGGAAUUUAUAAACAUGCCCAAGGGGAGUUCAUCACCAUCUUUGACCUGCACAAUCCAACGGCGUGUCGUGGGCGUAGCUUGAUCCGCACAUGCCCUCUGUCGCCGAAACCAGAGAGUCAUUGUAACUUUCCCUAGGAAAUCAUUAUGUAUUGCCAGGAGAUGCCAAUGAUGACGUUCCGAAGCACGAAUCGUCAUCCUAGAGAAGAAGGCCACAUGAUGAGAGAACCAACCCCACAUCACGCUGGAAGUGUCAUCUAAAGAUCUUAUUGACAUGACCAUCGGCGUCACCGCGAGCCGAGGCGGAAGCAUCGAGGUUGACUCCUCCUCCCUCCCCCUCCACCCCAUUAUCUGCCGGAAUUGAUUUGGGAAACCAAUCCUCACGUGCUCCGAGGUGGCACCGAAGCCAGCAAUGGACUUGUUCCAUUGCGCUGUCGCAUCCACUGUUUUGAUGGGCGACAUAAGGACACCGAACCUAAUAACCUAAACCAAGGCUUCCCAUGAGGGCGCAAUCCAUGGUCUCUCGCGACUCUCGGUGCCGAAAUUGGCCGCCAGAGGCGAGGGAGACCGAUGGAAUCAGACAACGAGGAUGAGUGGUGACUAGGGAUACAUUAGACGGAUCAGAUGUCAGAGUAAGAAGACGCCACUGCUGCCUCGGACAAGGAAAAGUCUUAAAGAGUCACGCUCACAUGGCAAUUAGAAAAAAGUGGAAGUGUUUCUAUUUCUGAAACUGGAAUAUUUCUUCGGUUCGGUACUCAGUUUAAGGCCGCAAUAAACAAGCCCAAAUGAUAAGUGCCACACGUGUGGCACGAAGUAACACCGCCCUGACGUUUUUACAACUAAAAUUGCCAUCCGAAAAAAAAACCGAAACCCCCAAAAAAACUGAAACUUGCUAUCCAAACAGAAAGUUGCCAUGCUUCACAACUAAAGUUGCCAUCCCUGGGUAACUAAAGUUGCCAUCAGAAAAUGUCAGGGCGGAAUUGCUUCGUGCCACACGUGUGGCACUUGUAUUUAGACUCUUGGUCUCUUUCUUGUUAAUUACAUGGAAAGAGCAGCAUUGCAGUGAUACAAAUUAAAGCCACACAUCAUUACAGAUAAUUUAUAGAAGACAUUCCAUUUGAUAGUCUAAAUCAUACAUUAAAAUUAGUUCGACCAAACAUAACAUAACCUUGUUUCAGAUCCCAAAUGACAACCACCGAGUAAAAGUUAAAUGUGAUGUAAAACUGAACUCCAUGACUGCAGUACAGGCUGAUGCCAUGCCAUCUGCUAAUCUAAAUCAUACAUAGAAACUGGUUCUUCCUAACAUAUAGGAUAACCUUAUUUAUGAUCCCAAAAGAUAACAGAUAAAACUAAACUCCUUCUGACUAGCACAAUUUCACACACAGAAUGUGCAAGAAUCAGCAGGUAGAGGAGCAUCUCUCUGGAAGUUAGGGGCUAACGACCUAACUACAGCUCUCCACCCAAGAUAUUAACAUCGUUGAUUAAUAAAUCCUGCAGUCAGAAAAUAAGUUUAGUUAGAUGCAACCUUAUCUAACUCCGUACUGCUAGUACAUUUAUAUAUGUGCAAAGCCUGACAAAUUUAGAGAGAAGAUAGUAAAUGCCAAAACGAAAGCAGGCUCGGAAGAACAUGGGCAGGCAUCAUGCAGCAAAAGAAUGAGAAAGCUUCUUACUUCAUUAAGCAUGUUGUUCCUGGUAGAAAUGUCAUCCAUCAAAAAACAAUCAUUAACAGCUUCCCAGAAAUCAUCACUGUCGAUAUUCAGUUGACCAUCAACAGCUUCCUGAUUAGCUGUGCCUUGUGCUUGCACAGGGAGAACGCCGCCUGCACCACCAUCAUUCAGCAUCUGUGUUGGUUCGGCAGAAAUGCCCAUCUGAAUGUCAGGCAUUGCAGCACCGAUGCUUGAAGCACUACCAAGUGCGAAGUUACCAUUCAGCAUCUCCACCGAGCUUGUGUUGUUGUUGUUGUUGUUGUUGUUGUUGUUGAUUGCGAAGUUACCAUUCGGCAUCUCCACCGAGCUCAUGUUGCUGUUGAUUGCAAAGUUACCAUUCGCCAUCUCGACCGAGCUCAUACUGUUGUUGAUUGCGAAGUUACCAUUCGGCAUCUCCGCCGAGCUCAUGUUGUUGUUGAUAGCAAAGUUACCAUUCGGCACCUCGACCGAGCUCAUGUUGUUGUUGGUUGCCAAAUGACCAUUCGGCAUCUCCACCGAGCUUAUGUUGUUGUUGAUUGAUAAAUCCUGCAGUCAGAAAACAAGUUUAGUUAGAUGCAACCUUAUCGAACUUCGUACUGCCAGUACAUUUUUAUAUGUGCAAAGCCUGAAAAACUUAGAGACAAGAUAGUAAAUGCCAAAACGAAAGCAAGCUGGGUAAAACUGGGCAGGCAUCAUUCAGGAAAAGAACGGGAAAGCUUCUUACUUCAUCAAGCAUGUUGAUCGUGGGAGAACGCCGCCUGCACCACCAUCAUUCAGCAUCCGAGUUGGCACGGCAGAAAUGCCCAUCUGAAGGUCAAGCAUUGCAGCACCGAUGCUUGAAGCACUACCAAGUGCGAAGUUACCAUUCGGCAUCUCCACCAAGCUUGUGCCGCCGUCCAUUACGAGAUCAUUUCUCCAUGCCGUCCUCGGCUUCUUCCCGGUCGAUGGGUUUGGUGACAAGUUCUCCUUGUUCGCAUCAUGGCCAUCUUCAUCAUGUUCAUGACUCUUCGUCCAUCCACGCUUGGUGCUCUUUGCACCGUCCUGCUCGCCGCCGCCGGGUCCUCCUGUAGGCUGCGCCUUCUCAGCGGCAGCAUUACGGAUGCUGCUGCUGAGUCUCCAUGGUUGAGGGGUUCUCCUCGCCAUGACAUGCCGCCACAUGAUAUCGAGGUGCUUGGUUUGCACCGGUUUCACCAGGUACUCGCACGCCCCGUGAGCUAUGCCUUUCUUCAUAGCCUCGGGCCUCUCGUCCGCUGAUAACACUGCACAUAUCAUAUCAUAUCAUAUCAUAUCAUCAGUGGUUCAGUUUGGCAACACAGGAUUAAAAAAAACAACACUACUGCACCACUGAAUGUCGAUCCCUGUGGAUUAAGAUCAGAAAAAAAGUGUUCAUUUGAUGAACUCUUGUCUUUUCCAUAUAUGGAUGCGGAAACUGUAAGCAGACGCGUUAUACAUGUUGAACAAACAUCAAACGUGUCAAAGAAACUCUGCAAUGUUCUAUUCUGUUCCAAAGUGGAAAUCACGCAGGAAUCAAGCUCAUAUCAUGACAAUUAAAAGCUGAUCUGCAAUUCAAACGGCUAGGAUUUGACAUACUAUCCUCCCUCUCUCCUUGAGCUAGUAUGUGGCAACAGGUUUCUCAAGGAGAGAGGGAGGCCCAGAUACUAGGUGUGCAGCUGAUCGCAUCAGCAAAGCAGAGUGGAGCUACCGAGCUAGGUGAUGUCGCCAAAAAAGAAGCGACCAUAUCAAGUGCCUUGGCGAUGGCGAUCUUGAGCAAGAUAUCAACUUCUCUUUUGAAGUAGCCGGGCGGUCUGGCGAACGAGGGGGAAAUUAUCGUGCGUUGUUUGCUUCUUCAAAAGGCACCCUGAAUGUACGAUACCAGAUCGGAGUGAAAGUACCUUGGAAACGAUCUUCACAAAGUUAUCAACUACUCCCUCCGUCCCAUAAUAUAAGAGUGUUUUUUACACUAAACUAAUGUAAAAAAAAUGCUCUUAUAUUAUAGACGGAGGGAGUAGUAUUUGAAGUUACUAAAGAACGUGUUUGGCUCAACCCCUUUUUUGUUAAGUUAUCUGAUUACAAUGUUACCUGAUUACCUUAAACUUGUUUGUUUGUAAAAGUUAUCAACUAGUAUUUGAAGUUACUAAAGGACUUCUUUGGUUCA